UAGAUAGGCUGCCUUUAUCUCCACAUGGC
rnacentral:piRNA from 1 species